CUACGGGUGGCUGCAGUGGGGAAUAUUGGACAAUGGGGGAAACCCUGAUCCAGCAAUGCCGCGUGUGUGAAGAAGGCCUGCGGGUUGUAAAGCACUUUCGGUUGGGAGGACUGCUUCUAGCACUAAUAUUGUUGGAAGUUGACGUUACCUUCAGAAGAAGCACCGGCUAACUCCGUGCCAGCAGCCGCGGUAAUACGGAGGGUGCAAGCGUUAAUCGGAAUUACUGGGCGUAAAGCGCGCGUAGGUGGCUAGAUCAGUCGGGUGUGAAAGCCCCGGGCUUAACCUGGGAACUGCAUCCGAUACUGUCUAGCUUGAGUACAGGAGAGGAGAGUGGAAUUCCACAUGUAGCGGUGAAAUGCGUAGAUAUGUGGAGGAACACCAAUGGCGAAGGCAGCUCUCUGGCCUGAUACUGACGCUGAGGUGCGAAAGCGUGGAGAGCAAACAGGAUUAGAUACCCCGGUAGUC
rnacentral:rRNA from 1 species